AAAAUUCCUCGUUAGCAUGAGGCGUUUGCACAAACACAGGCUGCUGCCCAGAAAUGUCGAAAGACGCCAAUGGGUAGACAAGGUAUGGUCGGCAUAAGGCUUUACCCGAGGUAGCUGGUUCUUCGAAAACCUACGUUGUGCACUGCCGAAAGUCUACGAGUGGGGAAAUGA
rnacentral:sRNA from 24 species